ACACGGCUGCCUCGAAGUUUUCAUUAUCUUCUUUGGUGGAAUGGUCACAUUUUCUGAGGCUUUUUUUUUUUUUUUCUUUUUUUCCCGAGCUGGGGACAGAACCCAGGGCCUUGCGCUUCCUAGGCAAGCGCUCUACCACUGAGCUAAAUCCCCAACCCCUGGAAGGGUCACAUUUUCAAAUGUCUCAUGUUUCCGCAAUUACACUUACUGUUAAUCCCACCGGCUGAGAAUAAGAACAUUACCACGAUUUUGAGCCAAAUUUGAAGCAAGCUUUUAAUUAAAUACUGGCCAGGAUAAUGGACUCUGGCCUGGUCCAUUUUGGAGUAUCCAGAAAAUGACCACACGUCACAUUUUUUAGAGACUUAUAAAGGCGAAUGCAUUAAGACUGCGUAUUUCCCCACCAGGGCCAAUCAGGGGCAAGCAUUCAGAGCUCCUGCCUGUGUAUCUCCUCCUUCCAUCCAAUCAGGGAGAAGCAUACUUCCUGACACCUUUCCUGCCUACAUGUGAUCAAUCAAGCACAUCGGGUGCAGUUGGGUCAAGCAAACUUGCUUAGGGGAGCAAAAUCACCCGGCUUGUUAUCUUCUGUGAACAAUAGACUCCGGCAGUGAGGAACUCUCUGUCCUUGGGCAAAAGGCUUAGAGAAUCCUGAUGGGAGCAAUAGACGGAAGGAAUGAAUUCUCAUGGCUCAGUUUGUGUGCAUUGCCCAUCAAGGUGGGGAAGACUUGGAAGCCAGAACUGUUCCCAGUGCAUCUGAGCCUGGAGUCAGAGAAAGCAGAGCAUUGCUUUUACUGAUAAUGGGAAUGUGGUUGACUCCAAAUGCCUCCCUUGACCAAACUGAUGGUAUUCAGCCUCUGUCAGCCAACACUCUGAUCAGCCCAGUACAAUUGCUUGUUUUGGGCAACAUGGGGUACCGGCCAUAUUUUCCCCCCAUUUCUACUGAUGUUCCAGGGUCUGCCGUGCCUACCCCAAUACCUUUGCUCUGUCCAGAGUUCGUCUGUUCUCGGAAUCCUUGCAUGACUUCGUUCAAGGUAACUUACAGAAGCAUAUUCUUCAGACCCUUAUAGCUGUUUAUGGGAAAUCACAACCGAAGUAAAACCCCAAAUCUGAAAUGGUGCAUCAGGAGGACUGAGAAAAUCAUAUUAAAAACUGGCACCACAGCAAAUGUUAUCAAAUACUCUUUAAUUUUAUUAACUCUUGGAAAAUAUUCCAAGGAAAUAAUUGAAAAUACAGAAAUAUUUUGUUAGUACAAAGACAUUACCUCAACUGUCCUCUUAGUGAAAACUGAAUAUGGUCUGCGUGAUCUAUUAGGGCAAUAGUAAAAAUAAAUGUCUGUGUUACAUAAGAGCUUUGCAUAAAAAUCCCUGUAUUGUGUGUAAUGUAUGAUAUCGUGUACGCGAUGUGUGAUAUAAAAGUUAGCAAAAUGAAAAAUAAAACAGCCUUUGUGGAUUAGGCAGAAAAAUAUCAAACC